rnacentral:lncRNA from 1 species
ACUCCCCGCCUAAAGUUCCAGGAUAAGUGGUUCACCAUUGGUGGAGCAGAGAACAAACUUCAGAAGGAAGACAAACCAGCCAUGCACAGAAUCACCUAUAAGCUUAACGAGGACCGCAGCUUCACCGUCACCUCCACCUGGCUUGGAGAACAGAACUGUGAGCACUGGAGUAACACUGUAGUCCCAAGUGGGCAGCCUAG